GAGUUUGAUCAUGGCUCAGGACGAACGCUGGCGGCGCGCUUAACACAUGCAAGUCGUACGGGGCCCUUCGGGGUUCAGUGGCGAACGGGUGCGUAACACGUGAGUGACCUGCCCUUGUGCGGGGGAUAACCCAGGGAAACUUGGGCUAAUACCGCAUGCACUCCACCGGAUUAGAGGCUGGUGGAGGAAAGGCGCUGCAAGGCGUCGCGCAGGGAGGGGCUCGCGGCGUAUCAGGUAGUUGGUGAGGUAACGGCUCACCAAGCCGAUGACGCGUAGGGGGUCUGAGAGGAUGGCCCCCACAUUGGGACUGAGAUACGGCCCAGACUCCUACGGGAGGCAGCAGUGGGGAAUCUUGCGCAAUGGCCGAAAGGCUGACGCAGCGACGCCGCGUGCGGGAUGAAGCUUUUCGGAGUGUAAACCGCUGUCAGGUGGGACGAAGGUCCCGGAGAGGGAAAUGCUCUGGGGAUGGGGACGUACCACCAAAGGAAGCACCGGCUAACUUCGUGCCAGCCGCCGCAGUAAC
rnacentral:rRNA from 1 species